GGUCAAGCGAACAAGGGCGCAGGGCGAAUGCCUUGGCACUGGGAGCCGAUGAAAGACGUGAUAAGCUGCGAUAAGCUUCGGGGAGCUGCAAAUAAGCAUUGAUCCGGAGAUUUCUGAAUGAGGAAACUCACCUGGGAUCAUACUCAGGUACGUUAUACUGAACUUAAAAAUAGGUAUAUCGAGGGAACCGCCUGAACUGAAACAUCUAAGUAGGGCGAGGAAGAGACAUCAAACGAGAUUCCGUAAGUAGUGGCGAGCGAACGCGGAAGAGGGCAAACCGGGAGUAGAAAUACUUCCGGGGUACGGACCGCAUUUAGGACUUGAGUUGUUAACCGAACGGCAUGGGAAGGCCGGUCAGAGAGUGUGAGAACCACGUAGGUGAAAACGACAAGAGCUGAGCGAGUUCCAGAGUACGGCCAGACACGUGAAACCUGGUCGGAAUACGGGGGGACCACCCUCCAACCCUAAAUACUACCCAGUGACCGAUAGCGUAUAGUACUGUGAAGGAAAGGUGAAAAGCACCCCGGGAGGGGAGUGAAAAAGAACCUGAAACCCUGUGCCUACAAGCACCUAGAGCACGUCAAUGUGUGAUAGGGUACUUUUUGUAGAACGGUCCGGCGAGCGAUUGUAUGCAGCAAGGUUAAGGACUUAAGGUCUGGAGCCGAAGCGAAAGCGAGUUUGAAAAGGGCGUUAAGUUGCAUAUAAUGGGCCCGAAACCGGGUGACCUACCCAUGGUCAGGUUGAAGUGGAAGUAAAAUUCCAUGGAGGACCGAACCGACCUCCGUUGAAAAGGCGGCGGAUGAACUGUGGGUAGCGGAGAAAUUCCAAUCGAACCCGGAGAUAGCUGGUUCUCCCCGAAAUAGUUUUAGGACUAGCCUCAAGUUAGAUACCUGGAGGUAAAGCACUGAAUAGCCUAGCGGCCGAGAGGUUAGCGAAGCUUAUCAAACUCAGAAUGCCAGAGUAUUGAUGCUUGGGAGUCAGACAGUGUCAGAUAAAUGUCAUUGUCAAAAGGGAAACAGCCCAGAUCUACAGCUAAGGUCCCAAAGUCAGGUUAAGUGGAAAACGAUGUGAAGAUACGUAGACAACCAGGAUGUUGGCUCAGAAGCAGCCACACAUUCAAAGAGUGCGUAAUAGCUCACUGGUCGAGCGUCUUUGCGCGGAGAAUUUAACGGGGCUAAACCUGACACCGAAGCUUAGGCAAUACAGCAAUGUAUUGGGUAGGGGAGCGUUGUAUACGCGGUGAAACAGUAGCGCAAGCGGCUGUGGAGUGUAUAGAAGUGAGAAUGCCGGAAUGAGUAGCGCGAAUGCAGUGAGAAUCUGCAUGGCCGAAAGCCUCAGGUUUCUGGAGGAAGGUUCGUCCGCUCCAGGUUAGUCGGGAGCUAAGGUGAGGCCUAACGGCGUAGCCGAUGCACAGACGGUAGAGAUUCCGUCACCACCAAAAGAGUUAAACACAGGGACACAUUUGAAGUCUCGGAGCCGGGUGUUGGUUCCGGUAGCGAUCGAGGGAAAUUAGUACCGAAGUCCGGGAUGGAAGAUGGCGAGAAAAGCUGUGUGUAUUUCUGCGGUGCCCGUACCGCAAACCGACACAGGUAGGUAGGAAGAAGAUUCUAAGGCCAACGGGAGAAGGGUUGUUAAGGAACUCGGCAAAUUGACCCCGUAACUUCGGGAGAAGGGGUGCUCCAGAGAUGGAGCCGCAGAGAAUCGGCCCAAGCAACUGUUUACCAAAAACACAGGUUUGUGCUAAAUCGAAAGAUGACGUAUACGAGCUGACGCCUGCCCGGUGCUGGAAGGUUAAGAGGAGAUGUGCAAGCAUUGAAUCGAAGCCCCAGUGAACGGCGGCCGUAACUAUAACGGUCCUAAGGUAGCGAAAUUCCUUGUCAGGUAAGUUCUGACCCGCAUGAAAGGCGUAAUGAUUUGGGCACUGUCUCGACAGCCCGCCCGGCGAAAUUGUAGUACCGGUGAAGAUGCCGGUUACCCGCGACAAGACGGAAAGACCCCAUGGAGCUUUACUGUAGCCUAAUAUUGGGUUUCGAUGUUGCAUGCACAGGAUAGAUGGGACACAGGGAAACAAGUGCUUUGGCAUUUGUGGAGUGGCCGUUGGGAUACCAUCCUUGCGAUAUUGGAAUUCUAACCUGCGCCUUUGAAUCAAGGCGGGGGACAUUGUUAGGUGGGCAGUUUGACUGGGGCGGUCGCCUCCUAAAGAGUAACGGAGGCGUUCAAAGGUUCGCUCAGCUUGAACGGAAAUCAAGCAAAAGAGUGCAAACGCAGAAGCGAGCCUAACUGCGAGACUGACGGGUCGAGCAGUAACGAAAGUUGGAGUUAGUGAUCCGGUGGUAUGUGAGUGGAAAUGCCAUCGCUCAACGGAUAAAAGUUACCCUGGGGAUAACAGGCUGAUCUCCCCCAAGAGUCCACAUCGACGGGGAGGUUUGGCACCUCGAUGUCGGCUCAUCGCAUCCUGGGGCUGUAUUCGGUCCCAAGGGUUUGGCUGUUCGCCAAUUAAAGCGGUACGCGAGCUGGGUUCAGAACGUCGUGAGACAGUUCGGUCCCUAUCUGUCGUGGGCGCAGGAUAUUUGAUGGGAGCUGUUCCUAGUACGAGAGGACCGGAGCGGACGUACCUCUGGCGCACCAGUUGUUCUGCCAAGGGCAUAGCUGGGCAACUAUGUACGGAUCGGAUAAACGCUGAAAGCAUCUAAGCGUGAAGCCGACCCAAAGAUAAGAUAUCCCAUUGUUUCAAACAAGUAAGACCCCUUGAAGACUACAAGGUUGAUAGGCAUGAUGUGUAAGUGGAGUGAUCCAUUCAGCAAGCAUGUACUAAUAGGUCGAGGGCUUGACCAC
rnacentral:rRNA from 1 species